rnacentral:rRNA from 1 species
CCCUUAGAUGUUCUGGGCUGCACGCGUGCUACAAUGGCGCUUGCAACAAGUCUUGCCAACCCGAUAGGGUGAGCGGAUCUUUGAAGAGGCGUCGUGAUCGGGACAGUUGAUUGCAAUUAUUCGACUCGAACGAGGAAUUCCUUGUAAUCGCGAUUCAUCAUAUCGCGCUGAAUACGUCCCUGCCCUUUGUACACACCGCCCGUCGCUCCUACCGAUUGAGCGAUCCGGUGAAUGUUUUGGACUGGCGUCAGAAGCGGUUCGCUCCUGACACUACGAAAUUUUGUAAACCUUAUCGCUUAGAGGAAGGAGAAGUCGUAACA